GUAGCUCAGCUGGAUAGAGCGCUGCCCUCCGGAGGCAGAGGUCAGGGGUUCGAAUCCCUUC
rnacentral:tRNA from 1 species